rnacentral:RNase_P_RNA from 1 species
CGAGUUGGCCGGGCGGCCGCGAGGGCCAGCCCCUCGAGGAAAGUCCGGACUCCGCAGGGCAGGGUGGUUGCUAACCGCAACCCGGGGCGACCCGCGGGACAGUGCCACAGAAAACAGACCGCCCCGGCCGCACGGCCGGGGUAAGGGUGAAACGGUGGUGUAAGAGACCACCAGCAUCCCGGGUGACCGGGGUGGCUCGGUAAACCCCACCCGGAGCAAGGCCAAGAGGGCGCCGUCAGGUGCCUGCGCAGGCGAUCGAGGGCGGCCCGCCCGAUGCCUGCGGGUAGGCCGCUCGAGCCUGCCGGCAACGGCAGGCCUAGAUGGAUGGCCGCCACCGCGGUUCGCCGCGGGACAGGAUCCGGCUUACACGCCAACUCGUCCG